GAUGAAGAACGCAGCGAAAUGCGAUACGUAAUGUGAAUUGCAGAUUUCAGUGAAUCAUCGAAUCUUUGAACGCACAUUGCGCCCGCUAGUAUUCUGGCGGGCAUGCCUGUUCGGGCGUCAUUUCAACCAUCAAGCCCUAGGCUUGCGUUGGAGCCCUGCGGCUGCCGCAGGCUCCCAAAUCCAGUGGCGGGCUCGUCGUCGUACCGAGUGCAGUAAACAUCCUCGCUCAGGGAACGUGACGGGUUCUUGCCGUGAAACCCCCCACAUAUCAAGGUUGACCUCGGAUCAGGUAGGAAUACCCGCUGAACUUAAGCAUAUCAAUAAGCGGAGGA
rnacentral:misc_RNA from 1 species